rnacentral:rRNA from 1 species
GAUGAACGCUGGCGGCGUGCUUAACACAUGCAAGUCGAGCGAAGCGGUUUCGAUGAAGUUUUCGGAUGGAAUUGAAAUUGACUUAGCGGCGGACGGGUGAGUAACGCGUGGGUAACCUGCCUUACACUGGGGGAUAACAGUUAGAAAUGACUGCUAAUACCGCAUAAGCGCACAGGGCCACAUGGUCUGGUGUGAAAAACUCCGGUGGUGUAAGAUGGACCCGCGUCUGAUUAGGUAGUUGGUGGGGUAACGGCCCACCAAGCCGACGAUCAGUAGCCGACCUGAGAGGGUGACCGGCCACAUUGGGACUGAGACACGGCCCAAACUCCUACGGGAGGCAGCAGUGGGGAAUAUUGGACAAUGGGCGAAAGCCUGAUCCAGCGACGCCGCGUGAGUGAAGAAGUAUUUCGGUAUGUAAAGCUCUAUCAGCAGGGAAGAAAAUGACGG